rnacentral:misc_RNA from 1 species
GACAAAUAAUUUUUGGAACAAUAUUAAGGAACAUUUGCGCUAUGGAACAUAAGUUCUCACUAAAGGUCUUAUCUAUGGGAGAAGGAUAUUGAAUUCUGUCGUAAUUUUGAGAAGAUGGGAGAAAGAGGUAAAACAUCUGACAUAACUUAAUUUGUUUAGUUUCUCAUACGAUUUAUACAAUUUCAGUUGAACUAUUUUGUGUCCAUUUAGCAUAGAACACAUGUUUAAAAACGAAUUAAUGUAGAUUAGACACCUAUUUAUAUGGAUAGUUCCUUGUUCGUUUGAUUUUAAGAUAUAUUUUUAUAUA